CAGAGCGACAGUAUAAAUAGCUGGAGAGCAGUGUGUCCAUACAGAGCUGAGAUUCAUCAGAAUAAGACAUGGUAUUCCGGAAUUCUUCUACAGUGACAACGGACCUCAGUUCUCUAGCCAACAGUUCAAAGAUUUUGCUGCAGCCUACGGUUUCAGACAUGUAACCAGCAGUCCAAGGUUUGCACAAAGCAAUGGUGAAGCUGAGCGUCAUGUCCAGACGGUGAAGGGACUACUCAAGAAGGCAAAAGACCCGUAUCUUGCACUUUUAGCUUACAGAGCGACCCCUUUGGCUAAUGGAUAUAGUGUCAGGGUUUUCCAAAACUAUCUUGAUCAUAUGAUUAUGUUGGAAUGUAUGUAACCAGUAAUGAAUGACCUUGGUAGAUUAGUUUUAUGCUUAUGUUGGUGUGUAACCAGUAAUAAAUAACCUAGCUUGUUCCAUCCUACACAAUGUCGUAAAACAUCCCCUGCUCUGCUAAUCUAGAGGUCAAGGGCCUUUUUUACUUGUCUAUUCAGUCUAUGGUCACCCCCACCCUUUUUCUCUUAAUAAAGAUGGUCUUGUGGGAAGCGAGAGAGAGACGUCAUUCGAUCAUUGCUGUACGCACAGUGACGAAUGGACUCUCCGCCUGCAGGUGCCCAAAACGACUAACUUGUCUCCGAGUGGUUCUUGCAAAAUAAGUUAGAGUGAGCACCACUCUAACAUUUUGGUGCCGAAACCCGGGACCCUCAUACCCACCAUCUGACUGACGGAGGAAGACGUGCUGCAUUGUCGACAAGCCAGCGUCCAUUAGGAGGACCUGGAAAAGAAAGUCCUGGGAAGAGAACUUCUUCGCUGGGCCAGCAUCUUAGGUCUGCCUUCGUCUGACAGAGGUGAUUUGACGGGACCCGGCGAUGCAACGAACCAGGAGACACGUAAGUUAAAAAAAAAAAUAAUAAUAAUAAUAAUUUUUUUUUUUUAAAAAGCGCUGAUACGGCUUUGGUUUGUCCGAGCUAUGAGAUACGGCUUUGGUUUGUCCGAGCUAUGAGAUACGGCUUUGGUUUGUCCGAGCUAUGAGAUACGGCUUUGAUUUGUUCGAGCUAUGAAACGCGUAAAAGUAAAAGUGCACAGGAAUAAAAAUAGGCAAGACAGAAGAUAAGAAGUCUUGUGGAAGGAGGGGGUGUUGUAGAGUCCCCCUCCGGAUGAAGUGGCUCUUCUGGAGCAGUGGUUUUCAAACUGUUUCAUAUAUUUUUGUAAAAUCUCACGUACCUCCGUGUACCCUCAUUUGACAACCACUGUUCUAAGGGGUACAACUUCGCGUUGGCAGGGCUGGGUAACAGGACUGUUGUCUUUAGUUCCCGGGGAAGGAAGGGGUGUUGUAGAGUCCCCUCUCCGGAUGAAGCAGCUCUUUUUAUUUUUUAAAAAGAGGACUUCGCGUUGGCAGGGCUGGGUAACAGGACUGUUGUCUUUAGUUCCCAGGGAAGGAAGGGGUGUUGUAGAGUCCCCCAUCCGGAUGAAGCAGCUCUUUUAUUUUUAAAAGAGGACUUCGCGUAGGCAGGGAUAAGAAAUUUGUGUGGUUGAAUGUGUGACUGGUAGGAUAAAUUGACCAAAAAGCAGUUCUAGCAUUGAUCGACGGCAAUAACACAGGCUAGUAAUUUGUUAGAAGGUCAAUUUAAACCUGCAUUGAGGAUCCUCAAAGAAAAUAAAAAGAGAUUGAAAAAAAAAAAAAAAAAAAAAACCACUGGAAAAAUUAAAAUUAAGAUGAGAAAAAGGAACGAUAAAUCUCUAGCUCUUGAAGGAGAUGAGUUCAUGGCGAGUAGAUUUCUUGAUUGUAUGUAAUACAUGCUGAAGUGGAAAAAAAAAAGAGAGAGAGUUGAAUUGUGCUAGACUGUGGUUGAAAGCUUCACAAGAGAGAAGAGAAUAAAUCCAAAAGACAGAAAGUUGAAAAGUGCUGCGACUAUGUUUGUCAGGCCGGAAGACAAUGAGGCCACAGUGCGCAGGCGCACUGUCCCGGCCACGGCUCCAGCCGCAGCUCAAGCAGAAGAGCAAGAGAGGCAUUCCGCUCGUGUGCAAAACUUGUAUACAACAACUAUGCAGUGGGACAGGCAUGCUGAAAAAGUUAUCCAAAAAGGCAAAUGUUCUGAUGUAUUUCAUCUAGAUGAUGAUAAUGAUCUAAAUGAAGAUACAACGAUCUUCUCCCAAAGUUCCCAAAGGGGAGAGGAAGAGAGAGAGACCAACAAGGCCGAAGGUCACCAUAUAAUUCAAAACCCCCAUCAGAUUUUGACAACUGUUGGAACUGUGGGAAACGUGGACACUGGUCAAGAGAGUGUUUUAGAAAAAGAAAAACGGUGCCAGUCAAGGGGCAGAGGAAGAGGCAGAGGAAAAGUCACAUUUACAGCAUGACAAGCUUCCUCUCCUUUGACCCCUCAUGCUAAUACAGAGAAAGAAAGAAUAGAUGCCCAUAUGACAGCAAAACAUGUCAUUGUCAGAUUAUUGGAAAUUUUUUUGGAUUAUUAGAGCUCCUGUCCAUGCAAGAAGUAUGACAAUGCUGUUUGUAUGCCCAACGACAAAUUACCAGGGAUCAAAUUGUGUGUGUACACUAAAGUUGGAAUUUGCAAAUCAAGUGGUAAAUGAAUGCAACUUGAAGAUAAAUAAAAAAAUUAGAAUGUACUGUCCUUGUGUGCGUGGGAGGUACUAGCUCAUGAUCGACCACAGGAAAUGGCCAGCCUGUGACAAAUCAUUGGUGCUGGGACCUGCCCUACGCGCGCGAGAGCUGUGCAUGUGUGUUAAAAUGAUGAAGAUUGGCUAAACUUUCAGUGUAAAGAAAUUUGUUAGACUGUGGUCUAUCCAAUUUGCACCGCAGAACAGAAACGAUUUGGAAAGAUAAAAAUGAGAGGAAAAGAGAAAAAUGUGUUUGCGAGCAGAAAUUUAUCCACACUAGAUGAGUUCAUGGCGAGUAGCCCUCAUGAGAAAUUUGAAAAAAAAAACGACAGAACAUGCUUUCAGGGAUUGGAAGAAGCAAAAUUGUGAAUUUAAGACAUUGCAAUGCUACAUUUAAUAGAAAUAAUUGAUUGAUGGUGUUAUAGAAUUAUACAAACUGCUAUAUGCGAGCUAAAUCUGAGAAAUUGAGUUCGUUAAAUCUAAAAGCAAAGAGAACUUCAGAUUAAUUUGCCAGUAGUUUUUUGAGUUGAGUUUUUUUGGGAUUGGUGGAUUGUUCUAUCAGGAACCUUGAGUUGAAAAUGGUAUAUGGAUGUUGUGUGGUGAACUUGGAUGAAUUGAGACCAAUGUGAUGGUAAGACUCCUUUUUGGAGACUGUGUGUGAGAUGCAAAUGAGCAUUGAUGAAUGAUUGCCUUGAAUGAUAGGAAAAUACAGGUUGAAUGGUUGAAGCUGCGACUACUAUGGAAAAUUAGUAGAGCGACUUUGCUGAAAGAGUGGUUUUGAGUAAAUUGAAUGCUAAAAUGAAAAACAUAGCUUUUGGAUUAAUGAUUAACUAGAGAAGAAACUGGAGAACCAGUAACACAUGCAGAAGAUGUGUGAACUGGGAAAUUGAGAAGCGUUUUGGAAAGAAAGUCAAAUUAAAUGAUGGAAUCAUAUGUAGUAAAGAACACAUCCUCCCAAAAAGUUUGUCAAGGUGUGAGGCAUGGGCGUUGCCAAGCCCCAGAAGGAGGGAGUGAAUAGGACAGAUAGUGGAAGAUAGUAAUAAUACAAACCUUUACGACAUAUGGAUUUUCUAAUACAUUUAGUGUCAUACUGUGGUAAAAUUCUAUUCUGGUAUCAUGCAAUGUAUAUCUCACUAGUAAGCCUAAGUGUGACCGGGUCAUGUUUCGGGUCAGGUUCGUCCGGGAUUGUUUGGGCCUUGGUCCAUGAUCUCAUUGGCACGAGACAUCUGGUUUCCAUUAACAACUGACAAGAUAUGCACCCGAGUGAGGAAAGGGAGGCUAACUCAUAAAUAAUGAGGAGAUAUUGGGAGUAAUCUGUUGGUCCUUUCUUUAAGACCCUUCCUGGUGCAGAUAGGUUAGCAACAAGAGAGAUUUAGAGGUUCAACAGAAAGACAGUUAAAAGAAAACAACAUUAUUAAUUUGGACAGUUGCGGGCUAACAGGAGCAUGAGAAAGAAGAGCUAAGAAGCGGGAUCCAAUUUGAUCAGGGAGAUUGGAAAUUCACAACACCAUAUUCUAAGUCACAUUUUUGAGCAAGCAUGACACAGGUAAUAACGUUUGAGAGGUCAAGACAUAGAUCAGGGCUAGAUGUGGAACGCAGACCUCGUUGAGUUAAUUUUAAAUAAUGAUACUGAAGACAAUGUACUGUCUCAUUAAAUAGGAACUAUAGACAGAACGUAGCUCGAAAAUAGGAUGAGUUGCAGGACUUACAAUAUAAAGACGAGAUCGCUGUUACUAGGAGAAUUUGAAGUUUGGUAAACAAACGUUACUAGUGAAUGGAUGGCAGCAGCUGCAUUUGGAGAUAGUCUUACAAGUUUGAUGUCCCAGUCUGUCACUCUCCAGUGCCAGGAUCCCUGAAAACUCAAUCCCGAGACUCUGCCUGCAGCCAUGGACGUCUACAAAACGGUGCCUGGCUUUGAGGCACCUUUGACCUUUGGCAAGGACAAAGAAAGACUGUUGUACUUGUAGGGGGACAAGUACACUCGGGAAGAAAGACGACAUCUUCGGGGACGAGAAAAGACAGUGAGAAGCGGAGGAACUCACAAUGUUGAAAAUGGACUCAUUUGAACAAUGGACUCAUUCGAGAGUGAUGGAUGGGUUGACUCUGAAGCAACAACAAAAGAACACCAUCUUGAGAGGGUGAGGUGUGGCAAAAGAUAUGGACUUGAAAUGUCCGACGGCCAAAUCGCACUCCGUGCUGUGGCGGUGCUAAAACUUCGGGGGGCUUGGGGUAAAGUGGAAAGGAGCUUCAUUGUGCACUAGGGUUGACAGAACUGAGGAGAUUUGAUAAAAGAUUUGAUAACGCGUAGAGCUACAGAGAAAAGCAUCAUAAUCGGAGACUGAACGGAUUUGGAUAGGACAAAUAGGCUAAAACGGUAGGAAACAAGAGCGAGAUCUGAUGUUUUGGCUCAUCAGGCAUAAGAAGUAGAAAUUGAGUUAGAUAAAUUUUAGAAUAGGACACUUGGACUAAAGUGAAUUCAGUCAAGAGGAAGCUAGGUUGCUCAAUGUACCUACUCAAUAAAAUAGUAAGUUCGUUGCACCACAGUGGAGUUUGGGUGGUCAAAAAGUUGGAUACGUUCAAUUUUUGACUUUCACACAAUCAUGCAUAGGAGUCGCACAAGGCGACAGUUAGCAAGACAAUGACUGCAAUAGGGAUCACUUACAACUGCACCGACAUGGAAAAGUAGAAGCAAGGGAGUUGAGUAGGGGAUUAUAUGCAGAACAGUCCGCUAUACAGUUACCAAUAGGAGGUUCUAUCAAAAGAAGCUACAUGAGAGAUGUAUAGAAUCCCUUUGUCUGUGGUCUGUGUUCGUGCGUAAUCUCUGUAAAGUUGUGUCAGGCUGUUGUCGUUUGUCUGAGCCUUGGGUGCGCGCUCGGUGUGUGUGUGAACGUGUUAGGAAGAAGACGGCAUGGAUAAGGGAAUCUCCUUUAAGACAGGAGGCAAUAAAUGGGAAAGCCCCUGUCAUGAACGGUCUUUGGUUAGGAGGAAUCAUUAGGAAGUGCUCAAACUCUUCUUUCAAACACUCCUAUCUGCCUCGUUAAAAAGGGCAUUACAAUUGACUACAGGAGUUGCGAAAAGCAGAUGAAGAACAUAGGUAGCAUGAUCAGGGCCCUCGGGCUGGAGGAUGUGUCAAAUGCAAAUUUACUGCCGCCUGAUCUUUCCUCCUCACAGGUCGACAACCCCAUCAAUCCAGGAGACUGGGUCUACAUCAAGGUCAUCAAAAGAAAGAACUGGGCCAGCCAUGGUGGGAGGGACGAUUCCAAGUCUUGCUGACUACCCCCCUCCGCAGUGAAGAUCGCUGAACAACCCAGCUGGAUUCACCUUAGCCAAUGCAAGCUACAAGGAGUGCUGGACCCCUCAUUUUGGGACGGUGGCGAAGUCUGCAAACAACGAUCCCAACUCCGCUAGGCGGGGGGAUGUCUCGGUGUUCCAGUCAUCUUAGUAGCAACGGGGCUCCACAUGCCAGGUGGAUCCUCUGCUGCGUUGUGGUUGGAGCAUGCUAUGGUCUAUGGACACAUCUGAACAGACCAAGUGAUAAUGUUGACCGUGGGAAACGAUGGUCACACGAUGAGAACUUUGAGGACUGGUCAUGAGACCCCAGAAACCCAUACGAAACCAACGCUUGGUACCGGUAUGUGAAGGUCGCUGUGAGAGCGCACACACAGGUGGGAUGUUAUCUGUGUUUCCAAAAACUCCCCUUGCUCCACACAAGUUCACUUGGAGGCCAGAGCAAUGAAUGUCACUGAAGCGAAAUGUAUGGCAUCCAUGGGAGAUUGAUAUCAACACCGUACUGUCAGUCAGUGACGCUACCCCUACCGCCCUGGACUCGCAGGAAUGAAUCUGUGAUCAAACUAUUUUGGAUUAAUCCCAAUGUGACUGUUGGAGGACGACAGAUGCCACAAGUGGCCUAAACCAGGACGCUACCUGGAAUGGACUACACGUGUUUCAUCCAAGAAAACAAGACCCACGGAUGCAUUCACGACAACUGCUCUCCAGGAGGGAACUGGAUGGGAGCUUUGGACAUCACCGCUGUGUGCCAGGAUGGGAGAGCCAUUUCAAGGUGUAAGGGCUCUCUUGCCAACAUGGCUGUACCAUUGGACGAGUCCUACAUCAUUCGGAACGGAUCGUGGCUUUAUUUAUAUUUUCUUAUUGAUAGCAUUCUGGUCGCCUAAGGCAGAGGGACCGUGUGAGACUUUUCCUGCGAUUUAACAUCGGCCAGCAGGUUUUUAGAUCACACAAUAAGUUUGAACUGGAGUAUUGAGGGAAAACCUCUUCUUCGCUGGAAGUUAUUGCUAUCAUUGGUUGUUUUUGUCAUGUUUCACCCUACACGUUCCCCAGCACGUCCGCUGUCGUCUCAGUUUUUUAUUGAUUUUUUUUAUUAUUGUUUUUGUUAUUCUUUAUAUUUUCUUACUUAUGUUUGAUUGAUCUGGUUCACAUAAUCGUAUGAUAGAACAGGAGGGAUAUGUCAGGGUUUUCCAAAACUAUCUUGAUCAUAUGAUUAUGUUGGAAUGUAUGUAACCAGUAAUGAAUGACCUUGGUAGAUUAGUUUUAUGCUUAUGUUGGUGUGUAACCAGUAAUAAAUAACCUAGCUUGUUCCAUCCUACACAAUGUUGUAAAACAUCCCCUGCUCUGCUAAUCUAGAGGUCAAGGGCCUUUUUUACUUGUCUAUUCAGUCUAUGGUCACCCCCACCCUUUUUCUCUUAAUAAAGAUGGUCUUGUGGGAAGCGAGAGAGAGACGUCAUUCGAUCAUUGCUGUACGCACAGUGACGAAUGGAGUCUCCGCCUGCAGGUGCCCAAAACGA